rnacentral:tRNA from 1 species
GAGGGUAUAGCUCAGUGGUAGAGCGUAUACUUAGCAUGCGAGAGGUCCUGGGUUCAGUCCCCAGUACCUCCG